UACGGAGGGUGCAAACGUUGCUCGGAAUCAUUGGGCGUAAAGCGCACGUAGGCGGCCUGACAAGUCGGGUGUGAAAGCCCUGGGCUCAACCCAGGAAGUGCACUCGAAACUGCCAGGCUUGAAUAUGGAAGAGGGUCGCGGAAUUCCCGGUGUAGAGGUGAAAUUCGUAGAUAUCGAGAGGAACACCAGUGGCGAAGGCGGCGACCUGGGCCAAUAUUGACGCUGAGGUGCGAAAGCGUGGGGAGCAAACAGG
rnacentral:rRNA from 1 species